rnacentral:rRNA from 1 species
AUGUUCCCAGAGAGCUUGAGCUGGCUGAGCGAGUUGAUGGAGCUGUCGAGGGACUCGUCGUACACAUCGCUGGCCACAGAAUACGCCACGCCCGACCCCGCCGGCGAGCGCUUGCGGCGGAGGAGCCUCGCAAGCCUCCGCGCGAGGCCCCCCGCCUUCUGCUGCGGCAGCUCGGCCGCCAUUAGCGUCUCCAUUGCCGCUGCUGGUACUGCCUUGCUCUCACCCUCUCACGCCUCACUAGCUAGCUUCCUCCCGUUGUGUGGAGACUGGAGAGAAGAGAAGAGAACAGAGGGAAAUGGAAAUGAAUGGGAUUAG